ensembl:lncRNA
CACUAGCAGUGAAUAGAGGUUCUCUUUGUGAGGGUACUUUCCAACUAAUUCUUUUCAGUUUUAGUCUAUGCAGGAGCGUACCACAGAGCACAUCACUGGAAAAAUCUCUCUACAAAAGUGUAAUCGGUGUAAACCAGUGUGCAGCAUAUUAAUGGGAUACCUACAGCGGCUUCUAACAAGUGGUGCAGACCUAAGGUGCAGAAUGAAGAUGGUCUUCACUGCUGACUCUGCUCCAACUUAAUGCAAAGCCCAUUGGCACUACUGUAAGAAGUCAUGAUUGUUCCACUCUAAUCUGACCUUGUAAGGCCCUGUCUGGAGUAUUGCAUCUGAGUCUGGGGCCCCCAACACAGG